CCUCGGAAAUGGCCAUGGGCAAAUUUUUUCUCACACUAUUCACUAUGGUCAUCUUUUGCUGUCGAUUUUCACACUUAGUUCCUCUUGGUGUCGAUUUUCACACUUCUCCCUUUCCCCUCAACAUGCCUGCCUGCAUCGCCUUCAUCUCCAAUGACAACACCAACAACCAAGAUGAAAGAAUCCUACUGCAACAGCCUCAAGACCAUCCUCAAUGCUGACGACGACUGCCUUUUCUCGGUGUUCAAGAACAAUGAUUACUUAGGCAUUAUCCUCAAUGUCAAAAAGAACAAUGCAGGGAAGACUAAAGAAUCUGAGUGAAGACGAAAAUAUCAAAGAGCAAAAGUGGCUCUUUAUGACGGAAGAAGACAUUAAAAAU